rnacentral:ncRNA from 1 species
ACCGUUAUCGAAAGGUAACGUUGAACGCACAGAAGUCAGCAGAGGCCAUAGUAACUGGAAGUUUUCUUUUCGGUGAAGGGC